GGCAUCUCUGUCAAUCCUUUAAACAAGGCAAUGUAUCCAUAUCUUCGCUUAUAUCAUUCACCCCAUUUAUUUUUACCCAAUUGCAGAGAUAGUAGCUUAAAUUACGAACAAGACAAAGUAAAGGAAACUGCUACGAUGUUUCCAAGACAAUGUAUGUGGCUGAAUAAAAUUAGGCCAAAAACUCCAAGAAAUUGCCAUUGCAUCAAAUGUGUCAAAG
rnacentral:lncRNA from 1 species